rnacentral:rRNA from 1 species
GGCGUACGGGUGAGUAACACGUGGGUAAUCUACCUCUUAGUGGGGAAUAACGCUGGGAAACCGGCGCUAAUACCGCAUAAGCCUGAGAAGGGAAAGCAGCAAUGCGCUGAGAGAGGAGCCCGCGGCCGAUUAGCUAGUUGGUGAGGUAACGGCCCACCAAGGCAAAGAUCGGUAGCCGGCCUGAGAGGGCACACGGCCACACUGGCACUGAAACACGGGCCAGACUCCUACGGGAGGCAGCAGUGGGGAAUCUUGCACAAUGGGGGAAACCCUGAUGCAGCGACGCCGCGUGAGCGAUGAAGCCCUUCGGGGUGUAAAGCUCUUUCGGCAGGGAAGAUGAUGACGGUACCUGCAGAAGCAGCUGCGGCUAACUACGUGCCAGCAGCCGCGGUAAUACGUAGGCAGCAAGCGUUGUUCGGAGUUACUGGGCGUAAAGGGUGUGUAGGCGGUUCUUCAAGUUUGGUGUGAAAUCUCCCGGCUC